rnacentral:rRNA from 1 species
CCUACGGGGGGCUGCAGUGAGGAAUAUUGGGCAAUGGGCGGAAGCCUGACCCAGCAACGCCGCGUGGAGGAAGACGGCCUUCGGGUUGUAAACUCCUUUUACGGGGGAAGAGGAAGGACGGUACCCCGAGAAUAAGUCACGGCUAACUACGUGCCAGCAGCCGCGGUAAUACGUAGGUGACAAGCGUUAUCCGGAAUUACUGGGCGUAAAGCGCACGCAGGCGGCGCAUUAAGUCUGACGUGAAAUCUCCCGGCUUAACUGGGAGGGGUCGUUGG